rnacentral:rRNA from 1 species
ACGUACGGGGCAAGCGUUGUUCGGAAUUAUUGGGCGUAAAGGGCGUCUAGGCGGGGGAUUAAGUUAGAUGUGAAAGCUAUGGGCUCAACCCAUAAACUGCAUCUAAGACUGGCUCUCUUGAGUUCGGGAGAGGAGAGCGGAAUUCCAGGUGUAGCGGUGAAAUGCGUAGAUAUCGGGAAGAACACCAGUGGCGAAGGCGGCUCGCUGGCCUAGAGCUGACGCUGAGGCGCGAAAGCGUGGGGAGCGAACAG